AAGAAUUAAAUGGAUGAAAUAUGAAAUUUUAUUAAAAGAAAAAGGGGUGAAAAGAACAAAGUUUUGUCCAUCUUUGUUCAUCAUAGCCUAAAGUUAGAGAAGAGAAAGGAGAGGAGAAAGCUCUUGAAUGUUCGGUCACUUGGGGAAGAAAAUUGAAGGUAAUCCCCAACCAUAGUGGGCUUGGAGUUGUGAGGGAAUUCGGAGUGGCCACCCGUUCUGAAAGUUUGAUUUUUUUCUGGUGAACUGGACAUCCUUUUAAUUACGUUUGAGGUUUUGGGCUUUUAAAUGUAAUAAGGCCGCUUAUUUAUUUUUAAUGGUUUUUAUAUGUUUUAUUAAGAUAGGUAAUAUUUAUAUUUAA